CCUACGGGUGGCAGCAGUGAGGAAUAUUGGUCAAUGGACGAGAGUCUGAACCAGCCAAGUAGCGUGAAGGAUGAUUGCCCUAUGGGUUGUAAACUUCUUUUAUAUGGGAAUAAAAUGUUCCACGUGUGGGAUUUUGUAUGUACCAUAUGAAUAAGGAUCGGCUAACUCCGUCCCAGCAGCCGCGGUAAUACGGAGGAGCCGAGCGUUAUCCGGAUUUAUUGGGUUUAAAGGGAGCGUAGGUGGAUUGUUAAGUCAGGUGGGAAAGUUUGCGGCUCAACCGUAAAAUUGCAGUUGAGACUGGCAGUCUUGAGUACAGUAGAGGUGGGCGGAAUGCGUGGUGUAGCGGUGAAAUGCUUAGAUAUCACGAAGAACUCCGAUUGCGAAGGCAGUUCACUAGACUGCAACUGACACUGAGGCUCGAAAGUGUGGGUAUCAAACAGGAUUAGAUACCCUUGUAGUC
rnacentral:rRNA from 1 species